UUACUUACCUGGCGUGGGGGCUACCGUGAUCAAGAAGGCGCGCAGUUCCCCCAGGGCGAGGCCUUGUCAUUGCACUGCGACUUGGUUGAACCCUGUGAAUGCCCCUAUGUGGGGCAUUCAAAUUUACACAAAUCAUGGUGGUACUAAAUCGUGAUAAGAUUUGUA